CCAGGAACAGUCCAGAACAGCAGGCCUCCCGGAGGAGCAGCCCUGGCAGGCUCCACCCUGGCAGGGCUUUGGGGCCUGGGGCAUCAGCUGAGCCCGCUGGGCCCACAGCACCCUCAGGACCUCCCACCCCUUGGGAUCCACAGGGCAGCAUUCCAGGACUUCUCCUACACCGGGGGCUCCAUUCACCUGAAGGCCAAGGACUGCAGAGCUCAUUAAUGGAACCUUUGAGUUCAACAGCCCAGGCUCACUGCCCCUUUGGCUGGUGCCACUUCUGGGUCAGUCUCCAGGGGCAAGGACAGGUUGGCAGUGUUCCCUCUCUGCCUAACUCCAGUGUGGACCCUUCUGGAGCAUCCCAUGUGCCUGGCUCAGCUCAGCAAGCUGACAUUUGAAAGCUCACAGCUAUCCUGUGAGGCUUUGUGUUGGAGGUGGCGGCCAGGUCCUGCCAACGGAAGAUGCUGGGCCUUGCAAACAGCCUGCACUGUGGGUGACCCGGCCGGCCGGGCCCAAACUGGCUGCCAAGAAAAGGGAGCGGGAAAGGAAAACAGUUCUCGGCUACGUCGCCUGUGUAACCGAAUCUGCUUUCAAAGCCCCUUACAACGCGGGCUCCGCAUUCGGCAUGGCAGGCGCUGGCCGCCAGAUCACUGAGGGCCGCUCAGGGGGUCUUCUGAGGACGAGCCCAGAGCGAGUUUGUUUUCGGGGAGAAGGUCAUCGCACUCAAGGUCUGCCCCAUGACUGCAGGAUUCUCAAACCUCCUGCCACGUGCUGGGAUACCCCCACCCACCGCAGGCGUACCCUCCGGAGGGCAGGGAGGAGAAACAGGUUUGGGCUGUUAGGGCCACAAGCCAAGGGGCCUGCAGGGCAUCUUAGUGAUGCUUUUGUGUCCCUGCAGUUGGCGACACCCAUUGUCACACCCCCUCCGCACCCUCAGAGUCUCCCAGAUGACAGACUUACCUGGGGAUGCAGACGGGGGCUGGUGAUGACCUUGGCCCUGUGUUUAUGACGGGGUCUGCACCCAAUUCUCGCCUUCAGGUGCCAAUGUGGGGGCGAGAGGAGGUGUCAACUGGGCUGGGCUGGACACGACUAGACUGUGGCCCCGUCUGGGAGCCCGGCCACCACCUCAGCAACGCCACCUCCUUAGGAUGUGGGGCGGGAUUUACUCGGGAGACUCUUAGAGCCAGAGGGUGGCUGGAGGCUCGUAGCCUGGCCCAGGCAGCCGGGGGAGGGCUUUGCCUGGUGCCUGGAACCCCCCCACCCCCGCAUUCUAGCCUUUGCUUUCUCUUUUGCUCUCAUUUUUAAAAACGUCUCUCCACUCCUCCCUCCCUCCCUGCUCUGGCCUGCCUGCUCCUUCAUUCCUUCUCUGCUUCUAACCCCCUGAUAGAGGAGCCUGGGGAGUCCGCAGCCUCCUGACUCCAUGUUCCUCUUUCUCCCCUGUCUUCCUGGAGAGGUCUGCCAGUGACAGGCUUGGAGCCCCAGCAAGGGGACCUGUCUUGGGCUGGGCUGUCCACAGAGGAGCAGCGUGGGGAGUUGGGAGCGCCCAGCCUGCCUGUGGGCUGCAUUGCCACUUCCUGCCCAGGAGCCCCGCAGCCGUCUGUCCGCCUCUGAGCAGGACAGCGGGGUUUCCUGGCUAGGAGCGGAGUGUGUCACGUUCCAGUUAUGUCUGCCCAAUGCUCAGCUUUCGGGUCUGGCUGAAGCUUCUCUGGGGAUUAUGCAAAAACCUGUCUGAGGGAGUGAGAACACAGAGGCACCUUAGGCCCAGCCACCGCUUCAAGCUCUGAGGAUUUGCAACAAAGACACACAUUUGCUGGGCCUGGGCAAAGAGAAAAAGCCACUCGCCUUCAGCAGCAAAGGAGAAGGAGCACUGAGAUCUCGGUUUGGCUUUCUGGGUGGGCACUGUCAUUCCAGAGGUGCAGCUGUGGGGUGCAGUCCUGUCUGGAAAUGGGGAUAGCAAGGGCUGAGCUUGUGCAUGCACACCUGUGUGCAGCCACACACAUACACCUGUGCACACACAUGCAUAUACACUUAUAUGCAUAUACUCAUAUAUGUGCACACACGCAGGCCCAUGCUCACAUGCAUGCACACCUGUGUGCCCCCCACACUUACAUGCACGCGUGCACAGGCACACCUACACACACUCCUAUGCACCCACCCUGUGCUCACGACACCCCUGGGUACACUUAUGUGUGUACAUCCAGAUGCACCUGCACACUCGCACACAUGCCUCUACAUGUACUCCCGCGGGCACGUGCGCUCGCAGAGGCCUGGAAAGUGACGGUUUCUCCAUACGACGACGUCUGCCGUGCUCGGUGGGAGCAGCCGCACUGCUGCCUGUUUCCCUGCCCCAGUCCGGCCAUCACUCCUCACCCUAGUCAGGCUCAGGGUGGGGGAGGUGAGUACCCUGGAGUGGCCUGGUCACGUAGGUGGGCAACCAUCUGGGGCACCAACCUCCAAAUGGGCCACCAGGGCCCUUCCUGCAUCUGCUGAGUCCCUGACUCAGUGCCCAGUGAGGGUCCUGGGGCAGCAAAAGAAUGUUUAAUGCUCCGCGUGUCGGUGGGUCUGGCCUUAUGGCAACUCCUCCCUGGCGGGUGGAGUGGAGCAAAGGGCAGGCGUUCCCGUUGAUCAGGAGCUGGGGGCCAGGCCUACUGACACCUUGACGCUGAGGGGGCCAGAGCAGCCCUGCGCAAUGUUCCACAGGCCCAGGGUCUUGGCAGGUGGAGGCAGGCAGACCAAGCAGGGCCUUUGUGUUCCAGGGCACUUUGCAGGCAGCAGGACCCCCAGGUCCUCUGGAGAGGGUGGCUGGAGACCCGGCCUGGAGCUGCUGCCCCCGCACCUCAGGAUACCUGCCUGCGUGCAUCGUCCAUUGUUUGGGGGCUGCACAGAGCACAGUUUUGAGCAGGGAGUUGGGUGUCACCUUGGAGCGGCUGUGAGACGUGUGGGACCCUGGGGGGCCACCUGGGGUCAAGCCUAGCCCUGCCCCUUGGGCUCUGGGACCCUGGGGGAGCCACUUGCAUGCUCUGUGCCUCGGUCUGUGACCCUGGAGGAGGGUGGGGAUCUCUCGGGAUGAUGGUUGCAUCUCAAGGGUGAGGGCCCCAGGCCUGCCAGGUUCUUUGAGCACAGUCCGAGGGUGGCCUGUCAGGGCUGCUCUGGUGGGCGGCCAGUCCCUGCUGGAAUGUGACUCUGUUCCUGGGAUCAGAACCUGCCCUGUUGCUUGUGGACGGGGUUACUUUUGCCAGGUCCUGCCAUUUCUGAGCCUCAGUUUCCCAAUCCGUGGUGGGGUUGACAUGAGGAAAUGAGAAAUGCACUCAGGGAGCACUGACUGGCACCGCAGGGCAGUGAGGAGGAGCCACCACGGUCACUCUUGGAAAAGUCCCCAGCCCUGCAACCGGCAGGGCAGUAAGAAAGUCCAUGGUUUCUGCUGUCCUGGCCGCCCAAGCCCAGGAGAGGCAGCAGCCCCAGCCACACCCCUGCCAAGAGCCAGCUCAGGGGCCCGGGGCCGCUGAGAUCACUGGGCAGUUCCCAGGCUGGCUGGGCUGUCCUCUGUCAGGAGGGCAGGGCUGGCAGCUUUGUGGACGCCUUCUCAGGCUGACCCCCACAAUAGCUGCCCUGCUCCACCCCGAAUCUACCCGUCCCAGGCUGCGCCUGCCUCCAAGUGCCUGACUGGAGAUGGCCAAGCCCAUUCCUCAUGUGCAAAGAAUUUCCCGAGCAGCCGCAGCCGCUGCAGCUGGAACUUGUCUCCAGAUGGGUCGUUCUGAGGGAAACCAGCGUCUCCUGUCUCCUCCUGCAGACAUGGGCUGGCGUCCGAGCCCUGGAUCCCCUGCCCUGGCUUGGCUUCCUCUGGAGGGGAGAUAAGGGGCUCCUGGCAUCUUGUAGGCUGAAGAACUCGCCCAGCACGCUGACAGGGAGGCGCCAGAGGCAGCCGCUGACCUCCCUCAGCCCCUGCAGCCCCCUCCCCUCUUGCUGCAGACAGGAGCCCUCAGGGCCCAAGGUCCACCUACCCAGCCUGGGGGCCGUUCUGUAGCUGUGGCCCACUCCAGCCAACCCAGGACUGAGGGGCUCCAAAGCGUGCCCAGCGCAUAGGGAGGGCUUAUUCCUGGGGGCACCGUCUCCCAGUCGGAGCCAGCUGGAGCUGGGCACAGCCAGGGAAGAGCAAAUGUGUUCUCUCCUUGACUCCUUCUCCAAGUUUGUGAUGGCGUCUGCCAUGGGCCAGACAGGGGGACACGAGGGUGAACGAGCGGAUGUGGCUGCCUUCUGGAGCCUUCCAGGGUGGGAUGGCAGGCAUGGAGAGGCACACAGGGAAACUGUGGAGUCUCACUGAGGUAUAGACGAUGCAGAAAGGGCCAGGGAGUUCCUACAGCGACUGUCACGAGUUCCUUGGGUGGGGGCAGAGACCACCACCCAGCCCCCAGCACCUCCAGCACCAUAGGCACCCUGGCUGGAGAUGCCUUCCUGUCUGAGGUCAGAGGCUGCAAACCUGUGGCUGUGGUUAUCCCACCAUGUUUUUAAAAAUUGGAACAAUUCAUGUAAAAGCCCAGAUUUAUUUUUCUUGAAAAAAAUUGACAGCCAAGUGUGACCACGGUGGGCUUGUUUCUACAAGUUAGGGGCUCCUCCCUCGGAACAGGCAGUGCUCUUGGUUGCCGUAGACGCCCCCGCUCCCUGUUGUCUCACCCGGUCCCUGCUGGGCCUCUUCGUGGCCCAUCCCCUGGUUCAGAUAUUUCAUUGAAAGACCCAACCCCCCACGGGGAGGCCGUCCUUCUCAGGAAGGUCACUUGGCCUGGACUCGGGACUGGACACUCAUUACCGGUCACCCUGUGACUUGAGCAGGACUUUGCCUUUCUGUGCCUCAGUUUCUCCAUUGUAAGAGGGGGCUAAUACUUGUGUCAUGGGACUGUCCCGAGGCGCUCAGAAGCAGCGGUCUUGCUCAUGCUUAAGCACAGAGCUCACAGCUGGGGACGGCCUCUUUGCCACAGGUCCCUGUGUGCACCCAACUUCCGCUGCAGAGGGCAGUGUUGUGUGUACCCAUGUCUGUGCUGUGGACGCAGCGUGUAAACUGCACAGCCUUUGACGGUGGCUGCCUUUGUUGGAACACUGGCCUCUAAGUGUGCUCUCCAACAGCAUAUGGCCGAAGGACAGCCCCUCCUUUGGCGGGGGAAGUUCUGCACAGCUUUGGUGCUUGGGAGGUUUAGCGAUGGCUUAGGGAGCCACCGAGAUGGGAGGGGAUACAUGGAUACAUUUAUCUCUAUCUUCUUGGGGACAGACCUCGGAGGUCCCUCCUUCUCCCUCCUUCACCCGUAUCGGCCUGGGUGAAUGGAAUCUGCGGAGCAGGUUUCUCAAAGCAAGCCUGGCGGGGCCCUCACAGGCAUUCCUGGAAGCGGGCUGCGGAGUUGAAACACAAGGAGGAAAUAAACAGAAAUAGGCUUAG